rnacentral:rRNA from 1 species
GACGGAGGGUGCUAGCGUUGUUCGGAAUUACUGGGCGUAAAGGGCGCGUAGGCGGCCCUGUCAGUCGGGUGUGAAAGCCCGGGGCUCAACCCCGGAACGGCACCCGAGACGGCGGGGCUGGAGACCGGGAGAGGAGGGUGGAAUAGCCAGUGUAGAGGUGAAAUUCGUAGAUAUUGGCUGGAACACCGGUGGCGAAAGCGGCUCUCUGGCCCGGUUCUGACGCUGAGGCGCGAAAGCGUUGGGAGCAAACAGG